UUUUUUUUUUUGAGACAGAGUUUCGCUGUGUCACCCAGGCUGGAGUGCAGUGGCCCGAUCUCGGCUCACUAUAAGCUCCGCCUCCUGGGUUCAAGCAAUUUCUCCUGAGUAGCUCAGGAGAGCCUCAGUACUCAGCCUCCUGAGUAGCUGGGAUUACAGGCACCCGCCACCACUCCCAGCUAAUUUUUGUAUUUUUAGUAGGGAUGGGGUUUCACCAUGUUGGUCAGGCUGGUCUCGAACUCCUGACCUCGUGAUCCGCCCUCCUCAGCCUUCCAAAGUGCUGGGAUUACAGGCAUGAUGGAGAUGAUACUCCCUAAAUCACAAGGGUGUGGUGUGAAGAUGAAAUGGCUGCACAUGACGGAGGAGUUGGAGAACAGGAAGCAAGCGGAUCACUUGGAUGAGCUGUGAUGGGCCCAGGAAGAACUAAGCCAAUCACUCCAGGGGGCGUUUUCCCAGGACCCAGGCAGAGAGCUGAUUCCAGCAUCCACAUUGUAUCCCCCUCCUGCUGUGGCCGGAGUCUCCAAAAGCUGGGCACCCGCCGCAGCGCUUCCAAGCCCAGGCCCAUUUGAACACAGGAGGACUUCUGAGGUUCAUUUAACCCCAAAAUCAGUGAUUCUACAUCUCAAGCUCAUAUUUUGAAGUGUUUACAGUGACAGACACAGGCCGAGGCACAGAGUGGUGCUGAGCAAAUGUGCGGUGAAUGGAUGGUGAACAGGAAGGGACACUGAAGAAGGAGGUGGUACUGAGAGCAGCCAUCGUGGAGCCUGGAAACCGAGACACAUGUGAAGCCCUUUGCACAGUAUUUUUCCCUUAAAAUGUGGGUGGGGAACAAGGGACUCUCCUUUCUCUUUUUCUCUGGGAUGGUGAGCAGUGAGCAGGGCACGCCACGAGGAGCAAACUGCAGCCCAAGCACACGAGGGCAGCACGCGGAGCACAGCUGGGGAGAAGCAGCUGACAGUGGCCCGGCCCCGCGUACCUGGGUGUGGACGCUCCGCCGCCCCGCAGAGGAAAGCGCCUGGAGUCUGGGGUCUGCUGCCCGGAGCUCUGGGUGUCCAGAAAAGAGUACCACACUGGCUGUCAGCUGUGUGACCUUGAGGAAGUCACUCUCUCUCUCAACUUUCUCAUCUGCCAGCCGCCAGGGCCUUGUUCGCACCUACUACCAGCAAAGAAUACCCCACCUGCCCCAGUGCCCUGGCCUGAAGACGUCCUGUUAGUCUUUCAGCUGUCAAUGAAGAUGGCCCCCUUUUCAAGAACCCUUCCUGGAAUCCUGAAUUUGGGGGUCCUGAUCUUUCCAUUCCUGUAUCCACAGUCACUGCCUUCACCUGAAUGCGAUUGCAAUUCUCUAGCCCUUCAAUUCAACAAAUAUUCUGGAAUGAUUAGCAUGAGCUGUGACAAUGACAAAUUCCGAUACGGGAAGACAUGAAUCAAAUGAUCAUGUUCAUCCAUGCAUGAUUAGAAACAGGGAAGGGUAAAGAAGGAAGAGAAAACGGCUUCCUGAGAGCUUGUCUGGGGUCUGGAAGGAUGAACACGGAGCUGGGGGCAUGGAAGGGAGCGGUUCCCAGGAGAGGACAAUCAUGCUGGCUGUUAGUGGAGAAUGGCCUGGAACACUGGGUCUCCGCCCCAGCUGCCUGGGAGAAACAGUGUUGAAGGAGCCAUACCCCCUGGCCUCCACUCCAGACUCCAGGCAUCCCCAGUCAGCUGGCUGGGAGGGAGGCAGAAGAGAAACACAGGUGCACUCGGGGCCCCUGCAGGAGUCCAGCCGGGAGAUGGGGGCAACUUGGACAGGGAUGGUGGGAGAGGGAUGGGCUCGGGGGGCGUUUGGGAGAUGAAAAGGGCAAGGCUUGGCCAUCAAUUCCCACGGGAUGAAAGAGAAGGAAUUGUCAGGAUUGAGUCCCAAGUUUCUAGCUCGUGCAAAUAAACAGAAACGGGGCAUCCACUGAGCUCAAGAGCACGGGGAAGGGGUGUUGGAGACUCUCCCAGGGACCCUGCAGACUUCUGUAACCCCUUUGAGUUCUCGCAGGCAGAGGCCACGGUGGGUGGGGAGCAGGCCUUGGCAGGGUACCAGCCGCCCACCAGGCACCCUCCAUCCUAGUAGCCCUUGGGCAGACACACCAUGGCCGGAGGAAGGGUACGGAGAGGUAGAGGAAGCCAACCAGUGUUCCCUGGCAGCCACCAUGUGGUCAAAGGACCAGGCGGCUUGUUUGGAAGGAUCUCUGAGGCACAAAGUGCCAGGACCCAAUGCUCCCUGAGCCCUCCCAGCAGGAAAAUGAAAACUUAGCAAUGGGCUCCCAGAGAGGCGGGGCUGGAGGUGCCUUCCCUUUAUGAGAGGCCCGCAGAGCAAUUCCUGCCGCAGGGGUUUCUGCCCACGGCUGAUGUCUUCCAGCCACCUGAUGCAGGGCUUGGGGCCUGUGGGUUGGGGGAGUGGGAUCUUAGGCCUGUUUUGGGGGUUAAUAAAUUUUGUGACCUUGGAUGAGUCACUUAUCUCACAGAUCCUGGGAAGGGCAGGAGGAGGAGUGAGACCUGGCCUGCCCUCUCCCUAAAGGCUCACCAGCUCUCUGGAGACAGACACGCCCUGGGUAAAGAACAGAUCCCACUCAGCCAGGCAGAGUUUCCUGGAGGAGGAGGAGGAGGGAGAGGAAGAGGGCAGGAAAAGGAGGGGAGGGUGCAGAGGGGGAGAAAGAAAGGAGGGAGAAGGAGGUGAAGAGAAAAGGGAGGAGGAGGAAGGAAAAGGAGAAAACCUGUUUUCUGUCUUUUAACUGUCCUUCCCCUCAACAGGGGCCCUGUGCUUCUCCUCAGUCAGAACUCCCCUCUCAGGUCCCCCCACUUCAGGUCCCUCCCCGACUCAUGUCCCUCUCCCCUUGUGUCCCUCCUCCCCUUGUGUCCCUCCCAGGCUUGUGUCUUCCUCCCUCUCAGGUCCCUCCCAACCUCCUAUCCCUCCUCACCUUGUGUUCCUCCACCACUGUGUCCCUCGCCCCCUCAGGUCCCUCCCCCCCUCCUGUCCCUCCCCUGCUCUUGUCCCUCCCCUGCUCUUGUCCCUCCCCCAUCAGGUCCCUCCCCCAUCAGGUCCCUCCCCCCCUCAGGUCCCUCCCCCAUCACGUCCCUCCCCCGUCAGGUCCCUCCCCACCUCCUGUCCCUCCCCUGCUCUUGUCCCUCCCUUCCUCAGGUCCUUCCUCCCCUCACAUUCCUCUGUCUUCAUUUACUGGCAGGAGAAAUUUCAAAGUGUGUUUGUACCACAAUUACUUUAAAACUCUAAAGUUGACUUUUAAAGGUUUGCAUAUGUUUUAAUUUUACUUUUACAUGAUAACCUGCAUUAACUGCACAGAUGCAUGCAUUUUUGUGCUUAUUUGUAAGCGCUUUCUUUAAAACUGCUUUUUUCUUACAUCCUUUCAGUCCCUUUCCCUAUGCCUGGAGCCUGGGUACCAGCUAUUGAAAACUACUUUUCUCCUUGUUCAUUCAAACGUAUUCACACAUAAAGGUUGUCAUUCCUUUUUGUCACUAUUUUACAAAAAUUGGAUCAUACCAUAUAUAAUUGUCUGCUGUUUGUUUUGCUCACCUAACAAUAAAUACACUG